AACGCACAUUGCGCCCAUUAGUAUUCUAGUGGGCAUGCCUGUUCGAGCGUCAUUUCAACCCUUAAGCCUAGCUUAGUGUUGGGAGACUGCACUAAACCGCAGCUCCUCAAAACCAGUGGCGGAGUCAGUUGGUACUCUGAGCGUAGUAAUUCAUUAUCUCGCUUCUGUAAGUACUGCUGGAAACGGCCAUAAACCGCACCCUUCGGGGGCACUUUUUAAUGGUUGACCUCGGAUCAGGUAGGAAUACCCGCUGAACUUAA
rnacentral:misc_RNA from 1 species